UAGGGAAUAUUGUACAAUGGGCGCAAGCCUGAUCCAGCCAUGCCGCGUGAGUGAAGAAGGCCCCCGGGUUGUAAAGCUCUUUUGUCCGGAAAGAAAAGCAUCGGGUUAAUACCCCGGUGUUCUGACGGUACCGGAAGAAUAAGCACCGGCUAACUUCGUGCCAGCAGCCGCGGUAAUACGCAGGGUGCAAGUGUUAAUCGUAAUUACUGGGCGUAAAGCGUGCGCAGGCGGUUUUGUAAAACAGAGGUGAAAUCCCCGGGCUCAACCUGGGAACUGCCUUUGUGACUGCAAAGCUGGCGGUCGGCAGAGGGGGAUGGAAUUCCGCGUGUUGCAGUGAAAUGCGUAGAUAUGCGGAGGAACACCGAUGGCGAAGGCAAACCCCUGGGCCUGCACUGACGCUCAUGCACGAAAGCAUGGGGAGCA
rnacentral:rRNA from 1 species